UACCUUAAGGAGAGUUCGGAGGGAUUUGAUAAUAUUAGUGAUUGUUGACUUGGGUCUACAGAUUUAAUCUAAAGCAUGAGCUAUUAUGCGGGAGGAGACUUGGUAUAACGGAAAUGAACUGCUUGAAAUGAAGAAUGAUACAACAUAACUUGAAUGGGAAGGAUGUUGCCGCACAUUUAAUUGAUUUCCACGAGGGUUGAAAGGACUUGUGCAGCUAGAAGGUUAGCUCGGACUCAGGAUAGGUUAUUGAUGUCAUGGUGAUCGUACCCUGUGCAGCAACGUCGGAAGAUGUCGAAAAGUUAUUUUCAUUGGUGGUUUAUUACCUGUGAGCAGGUUAGUAGUAUCGUGGUUAGAGAAGCUUUCGUGAAGAAUUCGAUUUGUUAUAUAGCAAAGAGAUCGAUUGUGCAAAUGUGUUUGAUGAUUCAGAAUAUAAAAACAGGGUUAUACAGAAAGAUUUCGUGAAUUUUGGCAGUUGAUUGUGCAUGGUCGUGUUAAUAAAAGAUUAAGAAUCCUGGCGAAUCCAGAGUUGAGUAAUAGUGGCUUCGAGCUAAGUGGUAGAGUCCCAUCGGCCACGACUGGGUUGUAUGGUUAUUUCCUUGUG
rnacentral:lncRNA from 1 species